GCCCCCGUAGCUCAGCCGGUAGAGCAGCUGUCUUGUAAACAGCAGGUCGCAGGUUCGAACCCUGUCGGGGGCU
rnacentral:tRNA from 1 species